UGGGGAAUAUUGCACAAUGGGCGCAAGCCUGAUGCAGCGACGCCGCGUGAGGGAUGACGGCCUUCGGGUUGUAAACCUCUUUCAAUAGGGACGAAGCGCAAGUGACGGUACCUAUAGAAGAAGGGCCGGCCAACUACGUGCCAGCAGCCGCGGUAAUACGUAGGGUCCGAGCGUUGUCCGGAAUUACUGGGCGUAAAGAGCUCGUAGGUGGUUUGUCGCGUUGUUCGUGAAAACUCACAGCUUAACUGUGGGCGUGCGGGCGAUACGGGCAGACUAGAGUACUGCAGGGGAGACUGGAAUUCCUGGUGUAGCGGUGGAAUGCGCAGAUAUCAGGAGGAACACCGGUGGCGAAGGCGGGUCUCUGGGCAGUAACUGACGCUGAGGAGCGAAAGCGUGGGGAGCGAACAGGAUUAGAUACCCUGGUAGUCCACGCCGUAAACGGUGGGUACUAGGUGUGGGGUUUCCUUCCUUGGGAUCCGUGCCGUAGCUAACGCAUUAAGUACCCCGCCUGGGGAGUACGGCCGCAAGGCUAAAACUCAAAUGAAUUGAC
rnacentral:rRNA from 1 species